CGUGUAACAAACGGCUCGUCUGAAAUGCCUGAGUGUACCCUGCUUUGCGGCGUAUUCGGUGUGAUAAAAUCUUCACCGGAGUCUGACCUUCGGGUCGCGCUCGUGAUCUGUAUGGCUCUAUGCUUUCCAACCGUCCCUGACAAGGACAACUACUCUGACAAUUUGACCUCAAAUCGGGUGGGACUACCCGCUGAACUUAA
rnacentral:misc_RNA from 1 species